ACUCCUACGGGAGGCAGCAGUAGGGAAUCUUCCACGAUGGACGAAAGUCUGAUGGAGCAACGCCGCGUGAGUGAAGAAGGGUUUCGGCUCGUAAAACUCUGUUGUUAAAGAAGAACAUAUCUGAGAGUAACUGUUCAGGUAUUGACGGUAUUUAACCAGAAAGCCACGGCUAACUACGUGCCAGCAGCCGCGGUAAUACGUAGGUGGCAAGCGUUGUCCGGAUUUAUUGGGGCGUAAAGCGAGCGCAGGCGGUUUUUAAGUCUGAUGUGAAAGCCUUCGGCUCAACCGAAGAAGUGCAUCGGAAACUGGGAAACUUGAGUGCAGAAGAGGACAGUGGAACUCCAUGUGUAGCGGUGAAAUGCGUAGAUAUAUGGAAGAACACCAGUGGCGAAGGCGGCUGUCUGGUCUGUAACUGACGCUGAGGCUCGAAAGUAUGGGUAGCAAACAGGAUUAGAUACCCUGGUAGGAUAGCG
rnacentral:rRNA from 1 species